UGGGGAAUUUUGGACAAUGGGCGCAAGCCUGAUCCAGCCAUGCCGCGUGAGUGACGAAGGCCUUAGGGUUGUAAAGCUCUUUUGGCGGGGACGAUAAUGACGGUACCCGCAGAAUAAGCCCCGGCUAACUUCGUGCCAGCAGCCGCGGUAAUACGAAGGGGGCUAGCGUUGUUCGGAAUUACUGGGCGUAAAGCGCACGUAGGCGGAUUUGUCAGUCAGGGUGAAAUCCCGAGGCUCAACCUCGGAACUGCCUCCGAUACAGCAAGUCUCGAGUCCGGAAGAGGUGAGUGGAAUUCCUAGUGUAGAGGUGAAAUUCGUAGAUAUUAGGAAGAACACCAGUGGCGAAGGCGGCUCACUGGUCCGGUACUGACGCUGAGGUGCGAAAGCGUGGGGAGCAAACAGGAUUAGAUACCCCAGUAGUCCCUGAGCGGGCUGGCAAGGCGCAU
rnacentral:rRNA from 1 species